GAUGAACGCUGGCUACAGGCUUAACACAUGCAAGUCGAGGGGAAACGACGGGGAAGCUUGCUUCCCCGGGCGUCGACCGGCGCACGGGCGAGUAACGCGUAUCCAACCUGCCUCUGACUGAGGGAUAACCCGUCGAAAGUCGGCCUAAUACCUCAUGGUAUCGUCUGCGGGCAUCCAACGACGAUUAAAGAUUUCAUCGGUCAGGGAUGGGGAUGCGUCUGAUUAGCUUGUUGGCGGGGUAACGGCCCACCAAGGCUACGAUCAGUAGGGGUUCUGAGAGGAAGGUCCCCCACAUUGGAACUGAGACACGGUCCAAACUCCUACGGGAGGCAGCAGUGAGGAAUAUUGGUCAAUGGGCGAGAGCCUGAACCAGCCAAGUAGCGUGCAGGAAGACGGCCCUAUGAGUUGUAAACUGCUUUUAUGCGGGGAUAAAGUGAGGGACGUGUCCCUCAUUGCAGGUACCGCAUGAAUAAGGACCGGCUAAUUCCGUGCCAGCAGCCGCGGUAAUACGGAAGGUCCUGGCGUUAUCCGGAUUUAUUGGGUUUAAAGGGAGCGUAGGCCGUGGAUUAAGCGUGUUGUGAAAUGCAGGUGCUCAACGUCUGCACUGCAGCGCGAACUGGUCCACUUGAGUGUGCGCAACGCAGGCGGAAUUCGUCGUGUAGCGGUGAAAUGCUUAGAUAUGACGAAGAACUCCGAUUGCGAAGGCAGCUUGCGGGAGCACAACUGACGCUGAAGCUCGAAAGUGCGGGUAUCGAACAGG
rnacentral:rRNA from 1 species